UGAGGCCAGAGAUAGCUCAGUUGGUAAAGCAUCAGGGUUGUGGGUUUGAGUCCAAGGUUGGGCAAAAGAUUUCUGCAUUGCAGGGGGUUGGACUAGAUGACCCUCGUGGUCUCUUCCAACUCUACAAUUCUAUGAUUUAGGCCUGGAAAAUAACUAGGACACAAAGCUGGGGCUAUUUAGAGUAACUCAAGAGCUGGCAUAAAUGUCUCCCUUGCAAUUCCUUUCCAUUGGAAGCUAUUUGAAAAUCUCCCCAGGGACAGAUGUAAGAACUGCCCAAGGUAAUGCCAAAUUUAAUAAUAAUAAUAAUAGCAACAAUAACAAUAACAAUAGUAAUAAUUUAUUAUUUGUACCCCGCCCAUCUGGCUGGGUUUCCCCAGCCACUCUGGGCAGCUUCCACAAAGACCAAUGUGUUAUUUCCACAAAAGGGAAAGGAAUUUUUAUGUGUACUUGUUUUUUAUGUUUAAUGCAUAGUGUCUUAUUGCUUACACCCCUAUGGAGGAUUCUCAUGCUCUCUAAUGGAUCAGGCUAUUGUGUAGUCCACUAUUUAGAUUAGAUCACUUUAUAACCACUUUUUGUUGUCCGAACUGGCACUCUGCCAACCUUCCCUACCUAUUUUUAAAAUGUGCUAAAACCUCGUUUUACCAAGGACAGGCUUCUGGAUCCAUAACACCACCAGAUACAUGAAGGUGUAUAUGCUUUGGUUUAGCAGGAAUGAUCCCUUAUAGAGUUAAGUUGAUUUAUCUGGACAAGUGCCCUUUUAAAGAAUGGUCUUUUUUUAACAGAUUUGAUUUGGAAAGUUGGGAACCAUGGGCAUAUAUAAAUUCAAAUUGGACUCAGUUUGAAUUGGGCAAGUGUAUCCAGGCUGCAAUUAGCUUUUUGGUCCUUUAAGAGCAAGUGAACAAUUUCCCAUGAGUGCAAGACCAGAGCCUAUAAUAAUAAAAUCCCAUAGAAAGGCCAAGGCAAAGACAUCUCUCUCAUGACAUGUCCAAACCUGCGCUAGCUAUGGUAAGGGCCAGACAAGGCAUGGUCGAAUGAAAGCCCUUAGGGGAUUCACCAGGGACUGUCGCUGCUGUAGCACUAUGAUGGUAUAAGACCAGAGGAGAGCUAGCUUGCCACCUGAGAACACACAAAAACGGCGGAGGGCAAAGCAAACUGCAUUUUUCAAUCGUUAGUGGACCUUCCAGCUAAGUGUAAAGCAUAGACCACUACUGAGUAAAUGUUUUUCCCAAGGUAUUGGAAUGCCACAUUUACUCAGUAGUGGUCUAUGCUUUACACUUAGCUGAAAGGAGAGUUCCGUCAGGAGGACAAGGCUGGCAUUGAUUGAACAGGCUCAAAUGUUUAUUAUUCAAGGUUGUAAAGAGAUAAGCAGACUCAGGAAUGCACAUUGCCGUGGCGUGGUGGGGCUGGUGGGGCCAUUGCAGGAAGGAGGGGGGGCAAGCCCAUGUAAGGACAUAGGAACUUGAUAUAACUUUUGAUUUCCCAGAAAUCAGGUGGUAUUGUAUUCUGCAAAUGUAUAAAAGUGGGCGCACCCUGACUAGGGUAUGCAGAUUGCGAGCUGAACGCGCUGUGCCUUUGUCCUGCAUAUGCAUUUCAAAUAAAUACUGUUGAAUCCUGCAAGGUUGUUUGCCACUUCGUGUGAAUCUGUGCUCCAGGGACCCAAUAGCAGAUAUGGAAAAUGUCCAACACCAAGACCUCCCUUAAAGCAGUAGUGGAUCCCCAGAUGGAUUUCGCCAAUGGAAGAACAAGCCCCAAAAAAGUUAAAUAUGGAAAAUAAAUGGUUGAGAUACUCAGACGUACUGAUUGAGGAUCAGGAAGGUAUUAAGUUAAAACCGUUUGAUCAAAUUAAAGAUAAAGUGAAUUGGCUUCAAUAUUACCAAAUUAAUGAAUUAUUUAAGAUUGACAAGAAAAAUGGUUUUGCAACAGAAAAAACCAAAUUGGAAUCCUGAUGUGCAAUUUGUGGAAUUUCAACAACAACAACACAACAAAAUACUUAAUAAAAACAAGAACAGAAUGAAACCAAACCAAUCCCUACCCCUAAUUAGGUAUUAUCUAGAUAAAAAGCAAAAACUAAAGGACACAACUAAUUUAAAUCCAUUCAUUCCAAUAGGCUUACUCUUAGUAGAAUCUCACUGCUUUGUCACUACAACUCCUUGCAUUAUAGUGUUUGGGUAAUUUUAAAAAAAGAGACAUAUUUGUUCUGAAAUCCACUGGGGAGGCAUGUGUUGUUGUUAUUUUAAGAACCCAAAUAAUAAUCUUGUUUCUUUUGAUUUUUCCAUAAUAUCUAUUCUUUCCUUGCACAAUUAACUUAUCCUCCCAACUAUUUUCAUCAUAUAAAAAUAAAUUAUCUCCUUAAUCUCGUAAAUUCCAAUUAUGGGUGGGUGGGUUGGUUGGUUGGUUGGUUGGUUGGUUAGUUCUUCAAGGAAAUUUUGAAGCUGGGGUGUGUGUGUGCAGGAGGAAGUUGGGUGGAAAAAGUGCUGAGGCCCCCUUAAAUGAAGAGAGAGAGAGAGAGAGAGAGAGAGAGAGAGAGAGAGAAGCAAAACUGACUUUGCCAGGACUUCUAGGGAGUGUCUCCAAAGAACCAAAAAUGUCACAUUUUUUCAUGGGCAUUUUUCUUUUUGCACAGCAAGGGAGAGAAAGGAAGCAGUUGACAAUCUCAGAGCCAGAGAACAUGGGGCAUCUGUGGCCCUCCAGGCUGUUAUAGACUCCAAUGGGGGGAAGUGUGGUUUAGUAGUUAGAACACUGGACUGGGACUGGAGGUUUCGAAUCCUUGCCCCUCCACUGCUCCCUGCUGAGCCCUGAAACUCACCCACGGGGAUGUUGGGAGGGUGGGUAGGUGGCCGCCGGUUCUCUCAGCCUAGCCUACCUCACUGGGUCGUUGUGAGGACAGCAGAGAUAACCAUGUAGGCCGCCUGGAGGAAAGAUGGGACAUCGUUGCCCCUAACCAUUGGCCCUGCUGGCUGCAAGCAGAGCGGUGGCUGGGUCCCAAAAAGUCACCCAGUGAGCUUCAUAGCCAAGCAGAAGAUUUGAACCCCAGUGCCUCCCAGGUCCUAGUCUGGCAGUCUAACCACUAGGCCACACUCCCUCUCCACCUUCCUGCUUAAAGCAGCCCUUAAUUGGGGACCUAUGUUACUGCUUAAACCAGCUCUCUUUUUAGAACUGUGAACCUGGCUUUGCAUCGCCAUUAGCCUCACCGUAAAUUUAAGGCGCCCCCACCAAGAAUCCUGGGAACUGUAGAUUGUUAAAGGUGCUGGGAACUGCAGUAUUCUCAGGGUUCUGGAAACCAUAGCCUGCCAAGGGGUCUGGGAACUGCAGUUUCUUCGGUGAUCUGGGAACAACAGUGUGCCAAGGGAGCUGGGAACUGUAGUUUAAGGGUGCUGGGACCUGUAGCUCCCGGGGUGUGCGUGUGCACCCGUUUGCUUUAAACACAAUCCCGCAACCCAAAAGAAGGUUCAUCUUGAGGACUACACUCUUGUGCACUGAAAUGAAACUGCAAAACCUCUUCUCUCUCUCCUUUCCCACAGCGGAAUUGGGCGACGUCCGCUUGGGGACCCAACCCUCUCCAAUGUCUGGGCCCUGAUUCAGAGCUUAGGAAUUUGCAUCUGAUUGCUAUUUUGUCAUCCUAGGAUUUGUCUCUCCAGCCUUAGGCACCCAGCGACCCAGCAGGAGGUGGAGGAGGUGGCAAGGAGCCCCAGCCAGUCGCUUGUCAAAAGAAACUUGCAGAUGGGAGCCGGAGCAAGGAGGCUGCGCUGAAACCAAAGAAGGGAGGCGCAGCUUCCACACGCGCAGAACAAGGGCAAAAGGCGACAAACACGGAAUGACCUCAACCUGGUGGCUCAAUAAGGACCGGUCUCUUGGAGAGGGAUUUUUUUGGGGGGAGGGGAGCCCGCUUGGAUCACCUGUUUGGGCCUGCGUAAUUUUUUAAUUUCAGCAUGGAAGGAAAGAGAGGGGAAAUGAAGCUGUUCCAGCCACUGCCUUUUCAAGGUAAGACCUUCUUGGUCUUUUCUGGGUCUGGGUUAAAGGCGGAUCUACACGGAUCCUCAUGGAUCCUCCACUUUUUUUUAAAUAACUCCAACAAAUGCAGUGUCAAAUCACACCUGGAAGGCACGCCUACAGACUGGACUAUCAAAAACGUGGAUCCAACACUUUGCCGUACUGUAGCACCACAAAAACAUGGAUCCGAGGCAUGGAUCCUCAUGAAUUCAUAUUAUUUUUAUAUUGAAACAAAAUGAAAAACACCAUGAUACUGUAGACCACAUCUUAGUCUGUAGGCAGAACCAAAAAAAUCACGCAUCCAAUGUUUCUUGGUGCCGCAAUGGCCCAGAAAAAUGGUUAAAAAACACAGAUCCUCAUCGAUCCUCAUGAUUUUUUCACUAGAUCAGCCCAAAGUCACCAUCAGAUCAAACAUCAUGGCCAUGUGCACAGCAUCCACCACAAAAAGCUCGGAUCCACGGCUUCCUGGCCAUACCGUGGCCCAAAAAUGUGGAUCCUCAUGGAUCCUCAAACCUUUUGCAUUGGGCCACCCCUAAAUCACUGUCAAAUCACACAUCAUAGCCAAGAGCACAGCCUACACCACAAAAAACUCAGAUCCAUGGCUUCCUGGCCAUACCGUGGCCCAAAAACGUGGUUUUGAAGCAUGGAUCCUCAUGAUUUUUGCACUAGAUCAGCCCAAAGUCACUGUCAAAUCACAUGUCAUAGCCAGGGGCACAGCCUGCACCACAAAAAACUUGGAUCCACGGCUUCCUGGUCAUACCAUGGCCCAAAAAUGUGGUUUUGAAGCACGGAUCCUCAUGGAUCCUCUCCCUUUUUUCAUUGAGCCAAACCAAACUCACCAUCAACUCACACAUCAUGUCCAGGGGCACAGCCUGCACCACAAAAAAUCUCUGAAGCACGGAUCCUCAUGGAUCCUCAGGCUUUUUGCGUUGGGGAACCCCAAAUUCACCCUUUAUUCAGAUAUCUUGUACAUAACCACAGAUCUGACCACAAGCAUCAUGGAUCUACUGCUUCGUGGCCCUGGCCAGAUGCUACCCUGGAUAUAUUGGUCAAUUUUUAGGUGGGUGUGUUGGGAUGGAGGAAACGGAGUCGGCUGAAUCUCUAUCCAACAAAGAUGGGGGUCCAAUGGCUGGGUCAGAAUGAUUUUGGUUCAGUUUGCCAGCUCCCAGCUCUUCAUGGGGUGCAAAAGUCACCUGUAGCCGCCAUCAGGAGUCCCGGUGUGAUCCUGGAUGCUUCUGUCUCUAUGGAGGCAUUGGUCACAAAUGUAGCCAAACUGGCAUUUUUUAAUCUAUGUCAGGCUAGGCGAUUGGUACCGUACCUGUCCCUUUCCAACCUAGCCAUGGUGAUCCAUGCAGUAGUCACCUGCAGACUAGACUACUUUAACUUGCUCUACACCUGAGCCGGGGAGGGCAGGGUAUAAAUGCGAUAGAGAGAGAGAGAGAGAGAGAGAGAGAGAGAUGCAGGGCUACCCUUGAGACUGCUCCAGAAACUCCAAAUGGUCUAAAAUGCAGGUGCAUGAGUUCUUACUUGGACUUUGUGAAGAGCCCACAUUCAGCUGGUUGUUCAUCAGCUGGAUUGGUUCCAGGUGGAGUAUCAAAUCAGGUUCAAGGUUUUGGUGCUAAUCUUUAAAGCCCUAAACAGUGACCUUUCUUAUCUGUGGGAAUUAUCUUCCAAUACACCCCCCAUGAGUGUGAUGCUCAUCUAACAGCAACCUACUGGUGGUCCCUGGCCCAAAACCUAUCCAGCUGUCCUCAACCAGAGCCAGAACCUUUUUGGUGGAACGCUUUGUCUAAUGAGACCAGGGCUCAGUGCAAUCUAUCUCACUUCUCUCACUUGUCAUGGUGAGUGGGCUUGCACAUUCCUUUGACCCUUGUGAGCGAAGCCGUCGGGAAUCUCGUACUCCCAGCAGGGUCACCCAAGGCAGUAAGGUCAAAGAUAAUUAAAUAUGCUCAGAGUCCUGUAGUGAUUUCAUGCUCUUUAUUGCAGCUUGUAAAACAGUGACUGAAAUUUCCCCCAAACCUCAGGCUUUUAUAUACAUUAUUUACACAAUGAGUCCCGUCUGAUUGGCUGAUUCUGCUUCCCUCCUGGAGCCUGAUUGGUCUUUUCCUGCAAGCCAAUCAGUUCUUGCAUUCUAGGAUCCUACUUGCCUAUUCUUCUAGGAUCCAAGCUUAGUCCAUAACAGGGAAGGAGCUAGACAAAGAAUGAGCCAAGAAGUCCUCAAUGGCAGAACAGGCGGAUGAUAACAAGCGGUGUGUUACAACAGCUGUGAAGGUGGAUGAAGGCUGCAGCAGAUAGGAUCCACCAGUUCAUCAUGACUACUCAUGCCAUCAGAACAGAGCCCUACUGCAAAGACUGUACGUUGGUCAGCAAGCACUGAUCUACACACAUAAAACAAAUUCACGCACAGGCGUCUUCCAAAAACCCAAGCCAAACCCCAACCCCCCCAUGGCAAUCAGCAAAUGGCUACGGGGGCAGGAAUGUGAAAUCUGGAAGCCCCUAGCCAUGAACCAACACAUGGGCGGUGGAUACAAAUUCAGUCGUUCUGACUCAAGGAGUGAGGCAGUUGAGCAGCUCAGCAGCUGGAUUCCUCCCGUACUCCCUGGCGAGGUCUGUCACACGCAUUCCACCGUCGUGCUUCCGGAUGAUCUCCUUCUUCAUUUCCAGCGUAACCUUCUCCUUCUUCCCCUCGCCGGCCUCUGCAGCAGCAGUCUUCUUGGGUCCCAUGGCAGCACAGCUCCUACCUGCACAACCCCCAAAAAAUCAGUGCUUCACAUCCAAAAAAUUCAAAAGCACCCAGCCACCCACCACACAGAUAUUCAAACCCAGAACCAAGUCCUUGAAUUCUAAACACCCCAAUCCAAAAACCCCCCAAAAAGUUCUAAAAGUUUAACUUACCGAAUGGCUGAAAAAGAAGUUUUGGAAAAGCUUCAAAAAUCACCAAAGUCUUCAAAAACCUCAACUAUUCCCCCAGCCACCCACCACACAGAAAUUGCAAACCCCUCCCCAACUGUUCCCCCAGUCACCCACCACACAGAAAUUCAAACCCAGAUAUUUAAAAAACAAACAAACAACAGAGUGGCCCAAUGGUCACAGAAAAUCAUAAAAAUGCAGGAAAAACCACACAAGCUUCCAGAUUCUUGCAAACCCCUCCCCAACUGUUCCCCCAGCCACCCACCACACAGAAAUUCAAAUCCAGAAUUUUUUUUUAAAAAACAGCAGAGUGGCCCAAUGGUCACAAAAAAUCAUAAAAAUGCAGGAAGAAACCACAAGCUUCCAGAUUCUUGCAAACCCCUCCCCAACACCAAGUCCUUGAAUUCCAAACACCCCAACCCAAAAUCCAAAACCCCCCCAAAAAAGUUUUAAAAGUUUAACUUACCAAAUGGCUGCAAAAGAAGUUUUGGAAAAGCUUCAAAAAUCACCAAAGUCUUCAAAAACCUCAAAAAAGGCUACCACACUGCGUGCUAUGAGUUGCUCCUCGAAGUCAAGUCGCAACUGCACCUCUUCAAGCAAUGCACCCUGGGUAUUAACGGUUUUACGAAAAAGGAAACAAACUUGCAAUACGUUUUCGUCUUGCGAAGCAAGCCCAUAGGGAAAUUCGUCUUGCGAAGCACCUCAAAAAACGAAAAACCCUUUCGUCUAGCGAGUUUUUCGUCUUGCGAGGCAUUCGUCUUGCGGGGCACCACUGUAGAGAUGAGCUUGCUGUAUCUCCAAAUCUGGGAGAGCUGUGUACAGCUAUUAACCAAGUGAAAAACAACAAAGCCAGUGGACCUGAUGGGAUACCUGCUGAAAUCUUCAAAGUGGGUGGAAUUGAACUUACACAACAACUUCACAAGCGCAUCAAAAAACUCUGGGAGAGAGAAGCGAUCCCAGCAGACUUCAGGGAUGCCAAAAUUAUCAAUCUCUUUUUAAAAAGGUGACAGAACUGAUUGCGGAAACUAUCGAGGCAUCACUCUAUUAGCUGUGGCCGGCAAAAUUCUUGCAAGGAUCUUAACAAACCGUCUCUUAACAUUAUCCGAGGUGACCCUUCCUGAAUCCCAAAAUGGUUUUCAGCCUUCUAGGGGGACAGUGGACAUGAUUUUCACAGCUCAGCAACUUCAGGAAAAAUGCAGAGAGCAAAACCAACCUUGGUAUUCACACCAUGCCGCCAGCUCUAGUGGUGCAUCCAGCACCUCAGGGGGCCCCCUUGCUUGCUUAUGAGAAGAACUGGCUCUGCAUUCCAUACAAAAUGUUGUUGUGCCUGCUGUUUUCUGCAGAGACUGAAGAUUCCUUCCCCCAGGUUUUGGCCCUGCUCAAGAACCAGUUAAGCACUUCCAUGCCCCA
rnacentral:lncRNA from 1 species